rnacentral:rRNA from 1 species
UGGGGAAUAUUGGACAAUGGGCUCAAGCCUGAUCCAGCCAUGCCGCGUGAGUGAUGAAGGCCCUAGGGUUGUAAAGCUCUUUCGGCGGGGACGCCGGGCUAACACCACGGACUAAUGACGGUACUCGCAGAAGAAGCACCGGCUAACUAC